CCAGGAGAGAUCAAGGUAGAAACUGCAAUGCCUUUUAUGACCUCACCUCAGAAGUCACACAUCAUCAUUUCCACAAUGUCACAGUGGUUAUACAAGUGAGUCCUGUUCAGCGUGGGAGGAAAUAACACAAGAGGCAAAGAUCACUCGGGACCACCUUGUAUAUUGGCUACCACAGAACCCAACACAAGCAGUAAGUUAAAAUCAUGAAGCUCCUGACGUCAGAGGACAUGGCUCUGCCAUUUGUUAGGUAGGGAUCCUGUUAAAGGCUCAGCUUCCUCAUCUGGAAAUGGAAAUAUAGGCCUUGCCUGGUUUGCUGUAAUGGGUCGUGAUGAGGACCAAACUACAAAGAGUGGUACAGAUGUUAAUUACAAUGAUUUUUCCUAUGCCACCCAUGGAAACAAAAAUAGCAAGAUAGAGAAGGCUAAAUCCCAGUUUUUUUUGACUGCUAUUCAGCAAAGCCUAGGAGACUUUCAUGACACCUGGAGAGGCGGCCGUAGUGUAUGUGUAAGAGUACCGGUUCCAGAGUGGGGCUCCCCGAGCUCAGCCCCACCACUUACCAACAGCGGACCUUGGGCCAGAUGCUGAAGCCCUUUGUGCCUUGGUUUCCUGACCUAUUACUGUGGAAAUGAUGACAGUACCCUCCUCAUGGCAUCGUGAGAAUUAAAUUAGCUAAUUCAGGUGAAGCAUUUAGAAGAGGACCUCCUGACACUUAAUAACUGCUUGAUAUAAAUAAUAGCUUCUGCUACAGAGUGGCCAUGAAGUCUGGACAUGUAGAUAUUAUAUUAUCAUGCAUCAUAAGGUGCAGAGUCAAUGUGACUUGAGGGCGAGAAUGAGUUCACAUCUCCUGGCUGCUCCUCUAGCUCCCCUAAUGGUACACAGCCAAUGGUCACAGGCCUCAUUUCACAGAAGGAAGCACAGAUGGGCUGUGACAUUCCAAGGAAACAGCUUAAAUGACGGGAAGAAAUGGAAAUGGGAAUAGUUAAUUUCCCAACCCAGACCUCUAGGUCAGCCCAGGGACCCCAGGGACUGGGGAAGUUUUAAAAAAUGC
rnacentral:lncRNA from 1 species